rnacentral:rRNA from 1 species
AUUGAACGCUGGCGGCAGGCCUAACACAUGCAAGUCGAGCGGAGCGGCGGACGGGUGAGUAAUGCCUAGUAAUCUGCCUGGUAGUGGGGGAUAACGUCCGGAAACGGGCGCUAAUAUCGCAUACUAUCAGAGCAGUCUCGGUGGGAUUAGAUAGUUGGUGGGGUAAAGGCCUACCAAGGCGACGAUCCGUAACUGGUCUGAGAGGAGGAUCAGUCACACUGGAACUGAGACACGGUCCAGACUCCUACGGGAGGCAGCAGUGGGGAAUAUUGGGCAAUGGGCGAAAGCCUGAUCGAGCCAUGCCGCGUGUGUGAAGAAGGUCUUCGGAUUGUAAAGCACUGUAAGUUGGGAGGCGGUACCAACAGAAUAAGCACCGGCUAACUUCGUGCCAGCAGCCGCGGUAAUAC